rnacentral:rRNA from 1 species
AGGGAAUUUCCCGCAAUGGGCGCAAGCCUGACGGAGCAACGCCGCGUGAGUGAGGACGGCCUUCGGGUUGUAAAACUCUGUUCUGCGGGAAGAACGGCAGCCGGGUGAACAGUCCGGUUGAGUGACGGUACCGCAGAAGAAAGCCCCGGCUAACUACGUGCCAGCAGCCGCGGUAAUACAUAGGGGGCAAGCGUUGUCCGGAAUUAUUGGGCGUAAAGGGCGCGCAGGCGGCCUGUUAAGUCUGAUGUGAAAGACCGCGGCUCAACCGCGGGGUGGCAUCAGAAACUGGCAGGCUUGAGUGCAGGAGAGGAGGGUGGAAUUCCCGGUGUAGCGGUGGAAUGCGUAGAGAUCGGGAGGAACACCAGUGGCGAAGGCGGCUCUCUGGCCUGUUACUGACGCUGAGGCGCGAAAGCGUGGGGAGCGAAC